CCCUUAGAUGUCCUGGGCCGCACGCGCGCUACACUGACAUGUUCAACAAGUUUCUCCUAGUUCGACAGGACUGGGAAAUCUUUGAACGCAUGUCGUGAUAGGGAUAGAUCAUUGCAAUUAUUGAUCUUGAACGAGGAAUUCCUAGUAAACGCGAGUCAUCAGCUCGCAUUGAUUACGUCCCUGCCCUUUGUACACACCGCCCGUCGCUACUACCGAUUGAAUGGUUUAGUGAGGACUCCUGAUUGGCGCCGCCGCCCCGGCAACGGAGCAGCGGACUGCCGAAAAGUUGUUCAAACUUGAUCAUUUAGAGGAAGUAAAAGUCGUAACA
rnacentral:rRNA from 1 species